rnacentral:misc_RNA from 1 species
GCUGCUAAGGUAGAGCUGAUGGAGGUGAGCACAUUUUAUCUUCAAGUUAUAUUGGAUAAUAAAUAUUUGCUCUUUAUUAUAUUGUUGAGACAUUGUUGCAUUGGUGGCUUAUUGAUGGAGUUGAUGAGAGGGAGGUGUGGCAUAUUAUAAGCUUUGAUGAAAAUGUUAUAUGCUUAUCAAAAGCUUGAAAUCUUCUGGCUUCAGCAAAUAACAGUUAUUACUUUUUUGGACUAAUAAUUGUGUAGACUACUUUUUGUUCUAUGAUUGUAGUCUUUGCCCUUUGGCUAAAGCUGGAAGGUGCAU